AAGCAAACUUCAAAAGUAAGACACCUGACAGGAAGUAUGGUGGAUUUCCACAAGAGAGAAAGCCACUGUGCACAGAAAAAAGAUAUAUAUCCUACUGUCAUUUGUAAGGAGGAGGCAGAAUUACUCUUUGGUCCAAAAUUGGCUGCCUUCAGGGAAAUCCAUCCUCCUCAGCCCAGAAGGAUUUCAGUGGGAACAGGUGUAUCAAUGCAGGUUUUCCAGGUAGAAGGCGUCACAUCAUGGAUGCUUUCACUCCAGCUGAAAGAUAUUCUUCAGACAUGAUGAGAUUCCAUCUGAGACCCCUUCAAGAUGACAGAUGAGAACUAUCUGACAGCCUGUACAUUCUGAAAGCCUAACAAUACUGUGGUAUUCAGCCAGCUCAUAGCUUUGCAGUCAAUGCCACAAGCUUUUUACUCACACGAUCUAGGUACCUGUGUUUGUAACUCUGAGCGUGCC
ensembl:lncRNA